UUUCUUGAUGCUUUACUUUCUAUGGUAAACCAUAAUUUUCUCGACGUUGUGGUUUGUGGAUCUUCUUUUUCUGCCCUAAAGUGUGCCCAAAUUGCCUGUUUUGUUCUAUCCUAUGGUAAGGCCUUAAUUUUAUCUUUAUUUUUUGGGGUUUCAUUAUUGAGUUUUCAACUCUUUUGUUGUUUUUCAUAUAUGCUUUGAUUGUCUGGGAACUUCUUAAUACUUCAUGCUUGUUCUUCGUUAAUCCCCGCUGGCUAGAAAGUGACAAGACCUAAACAAGAAUGCGGCAAAGAUUGCCAGAUGACUAAAGUAAUCAUCAUGAUGAGAAGGGGCAACACUUCUCAAUCUCCAAUGCGGAAGAAGAGGAAGAGAGAAAAAGAUCGCGCGGAGUAACGAGGCAAAGCCGCACAAGAAAAGAGCAAACACGAGGAAGGAGAAGAAGAAGAGAAAGAAGAAGAGUUAAAGUGUUUUAGUAGCAUGCCUACUUUACAAAAACAACCGAAACUUUAUUAGAAUUCUCUCUACUAAAGAGAAUCACAUUCUAUGAUUCUCAUGAUUGUACAAUAGGUUUACAAUGAUCCAUAUAAAUAGUGCAUAAAUCUCAGACCCGGUAAAAUCAUAACAGAAUUUUAUUAUGAAAAAUUGUAACAAAAUUCUGUUAUGAAAAACCAUAACAGAAUUCUGUUAUAUAAAAUCGUAAUAGAAUUUUAUUACGAAAAAUCUUAACAGAUUUUUUUUCAUAACAUCCAUCGCAUUGAUCUUCAUCCAAAUAUGAGCCAUCCGUUAACAAUCUCCAUCUUGGCGAAUAUUCACCCUUUCGAAAAACACGAGUAUCUGAACAAAACUCCACCUGGACCUCUGGUCUAGGUUUCCUCUAGCAUCUAGAGAUAUGGAUCAAGUUCAAGCAAUGCUUGAACUUCUCUGUGGUCACUAGCUUUGUCAGCAUGUCUACAACAUUGUCAGCAUGUCUGCAGUGUGAACAUUCUCAAGUUGAAUUUCUCCAAAAGCAAUUGACUCUAUGAUAUUGUGAAACCGCACAUCAAUGUGCUUGGUUCUCGCAUGAUACACAACCAACUACAUUGACAUAAAGAACCUUUGACAUCUUUUGGAUCUCGUCAUUCAUUUUUGGACACUGUGUACUUAUAACUUGAAGUGAUGCACCAGGGGUGUGCUCACCGACUUUGCAUUCUUCAUGUUGAACCUAUCCAACACAUUUUCCACAUAGCUACGUUGAGACAACUAUAAUCUCCCUGUAGCUCUAUCCCUGUGAAUCUCCAUCUCAAGAAUCUUCUUGGCUUCUUCUAAAUCUUUCAUGUUAAAUUCCUUGCUAAGUAGCCUCUUCAAUUUGUCGAUCUCUUUCAUCUUCUUCGCAACAAUAAGCAUGUCAUCUAUGCAUAGUAGUAAGAAAAUCAGUACUUCAUCUUCAAGGCUCUUCACAUAUAUGCAGUAAUCAUACUCACAUUUCCUAUAUCUAUUUUGAAUCAUGUAUGAAUCAAAAUGUUUAUACCAUUGCCUAGGAGAUUGCUUCAAUCCAUAGAGCGAUUUCUUCAACUUACAAACCAACCACUCUUGUCUGACUAAAUCCCUCAGUUGUGACAUAAAAAUUUGUUUCUCCAAAUUUCCAUGAAGAAAUGCCGUCUUCACAUUUAUUUCCUCCAACUGCAAAUCGUAAUGUUCCACCAAAGCCAACGCCGCUCUAAUUGACGUAUGUCUUACUAUUGGAGAGAAAUUUUUUUUAUAGUUAAUAUCUUUUUUCUGUGAAUGCCCCUUUGUUACCAACCGAACCUUGAACUUCACUUCUUCUCCCACAUUGCUUCUUUAUUCUUGAAUAUCCACUUGCACCCUAUAACUUUCUCAUCUGUUAUAACAUCCGUCCACUUAUCCUUCUCACAGCUGUGUAUCGCCUCCCGAAAAGACGUAGGGUUUCCGCUACUAGUGAUAAGUUCAUAAGAUACUAAGUCUUCAAAUCCGUAUAUAGUGGGUGGUUUUACAACUUCUCUCGCUCUGCCACCAACUAUAAUGUGUGCUCUAAGUUAGAAUCAUCAGAGUUAUCAGUCUGUAGCUCCACCUACACGACAUCUUUCUCCAUAUUGCUCUGUGGUGUUUCCUUUCCUUCUUCCUGAGUACGUUGUAGCAUAGCCUUCUAGUCAAACAUUACAUCUCUGCUGAUCAUCACCUUGUUUACCUUAAAAUCCCAAAGCUUGAAACUUUAACUCUUUUUUAUACCCCCAAAAAAUGCAUCGCUUUGACUUUGCAUCCAACUUUGAUUUUUUCUUAUUAGAUAUGUGCUUAUAAGCUGGACAUCUAAAAACUCGAAGAUGAGAGUAAUCUACUUAAUUUUCUGUUUAUACUUUCUCUGAUAUUUUGCCUUCUAGUGCUGUCCUUGGUGAUUUAUUAAUGAGAUAACAUGCCCUGUUAAUUGCUUCCGCCCAGAAAUUCUUUGCUAGCUCUGCAUUUAGCCUGAGACAUCUUGUCUUCUCAAUGAUAGUCCUGUUCAAUCUUUCCACUACCCCGUUUUGUUGAGGUGUCUUGCGAAUCGAGAAAUGUCUCAUUAUCCGGUUUGGUUCUCCACUUCAGUUUUCCACAGUUUGAACUUUGUGAAAGUUUCUGACUUGUGACGCAUAAAAAUAUACUCAGACCUUUCGUGAGUAAUCAUUAGUAAAACUCACAAAAUACAAGCCCUCCACAUGAUGUUACACUGGCUAACCCCAGAGAUCUGUAUGUAUGUAGUCUAGAAUCCCCUCCGUCUUAUUUGUUGCCGUCUUGAUUUGCACUUUGCUUUGCUUUCUAAGAACAUAGAAUUUGUAGAAUUCAAGCUUGCACGUCUUGACACCCUUCAAUAAAUCUCUCAUGUGAAGUUUUAGCAUUCCACAUUCACCCAUAUGCUCUAGCCGCAUAUGCCAUAAGCCAAUAAUGUCAGAUUCAGAUUCUACCGAGACAACUCUACCUACAACUGUAGUCCCUAUUAACUUAUAGAUAUUCUCUGCUAACUUUUGUCCUUUCAUUACCGUUAGAGCUCCCUUGCUGACUUUUAUCAUUCCGCUUAUUGAUUUGUAACUACAACCAAUAUCAUCUAGUGUGCCCUAGCGAGAUUAAGUUCUUCCUUAGCUUUGGUAUAUAUCUAACAUCACAUAGGAUUCUGAUCACACCAUCAAAUAUCUUGAUUUUGACGUUUCCUCUACCGAUAACUUUGCAUAACGCAUCUUUUUCCAUCAAUACUGAACUAGAAUCUACUACCCUAUAGGUGUCAAAUCAAUCCUUGUUUAAUAUGUAGAGUCUAAAAUCCAUACAUCCGUCAGCUACUUCGAACUCGACAUAACUGAUAAUAUAUCUCCAUCACCGCUCUAUGAAUUUUCCUCUGCAACUAUUUUUGCUGACUUUGCCGAAUUACCUUUGUUCUCUGCAACAUGUUUCUUUAUUUCUGGACAAUCUCUCUUAAUAUGACCUUUGCCUCCAUAUUUGUAGCACGUGAUCACCUUCUUCUUUCUCGACUUAGAACGAGCCUUGUUGUUGUUACCUAACCCAUGUCGAGAUUUGCUCCUACCACGCUCUUGGUUGCUAUUUAUCAUAAGUCUUUCUCCCUGAGAAACUUUAUCGCUUAUUUUCUUCCAUUGGUGAAAACCUAGCAACGCACCUAUGAUCUCCUCCAAUUUGAGAGUUUCCUUACCCCACAUCAAAAAAGUAGUAACUAAAUUCUCGUACGUAGGAGAUGAAAGUAGAGAAUUCAACAACAUCAGCGCCUUGUCUUCAUCUUCGAUCUUCACAUCAACCUGCUUCAGAUUACUUAUAUUCUGGUUGAAUACGUUGAUGUGCUAGCUCAGAUCGGUUCCUUCUGUCAUUUUCAGCCCGAAUAAUUUGUACUUAAGAUACAAUUUGUUUGUCAAUGUAUUGACUUUCCAACUUUUGCCAAACUGCCACUGGUGAUUUUUCGUCCAUGAUACGGUACAUCACAUCAUCCGUAAGACAAAGCCUGAUUAUUGUCAUUGCCUUCACCUGAAGUUCUUCCCAAUUUAAUCUCUCCAUGCUUUUCGGUUUCCUUUCUCCUAACGCCUUCACCAUGCCUUGUUGCACCAACAAAUUCUUGACCCUUCUCUGCCAUAAUCCGAAGUUCCCGGUUCCGUCAAACUUCACCAUAUCAAACUUCGCAGAAGUCGUCGUCGACAUAUUGAAGAAAUCUGCCAAAACCUGUAGUUCUGAUACCAAUUGUUGUGUAAAGAGGGGGCAACACCUCUCAACCUCUAAUGUAGCAAAAGAGGAAGAGAGAAAGAGAUCGCGCGGAACAACGAGGCAAAGAUGCACAAGAAAGGAGCAAACACGAGGAAGGAGAAUAAGAAGAGAAAGAAGAAUUAUCGUGAUUUGGCAGUGUGCCUACUUCACAAAAACGAUCGAAGUUUUAUUAGAAUUCUUUCUACUCAAGAGAAUCACAUUCAAUGAUUCUUAUGAUUGUACAAUAGGUUUACAAUGAUCCCUAUAACUAGUACAUAAACCCAAAAUCCGGUAAAAUUGUAACAGAAUUUUGUUAUAAAAAAUUACAACAGAAUUCUGUUAUGAAAAAUUGUAAUAGAAUUCUGUUAUAUAAAAUCGUAACAGAAUUUUAUUACGAAAAAUCUUAACAGAUUUUUCUUCUAUGACAUCCAUCGCAUUGACUUUCAUCCAAAUAUGAGUCACCCGUCAACAUGUCUUGUAUAGAAGAUUGACAAUUGAUUUUAUUAAUUUGUGUAGAUGAUUGUAUAGGUAGAUUUCUAGGGAGCCAUUUGGGGACUAUAUAUAUAUAUAUAGAAGACCUACGCCCUAUUCGCUUACCAGGUAAAUCCGAAGUACAAUUUAUGCACACUUAGAAGCCGACCUCCAUCAUAUUCGUCCCUAUUGGGAUUUGAACCAUGGGUCUCUUUAUUGGUCCUUUUGAGUGUUUUACCAUUGCACCACACCGAUGGGGGCUCCACUAUUGGAUCAGUCAAGAUGUAUAACAACAAAAAGUACUAACUCGUCCUUCUGAUUUUCAUGGUAUCAUAGCCAAAAUUUUCCUCCCUCUUCAAAUCCUAUCAAUUUUGUUGGUUGGUCUUCUAUUCUCUCUUCAAAUACUGUUGUUGGUUGAGCUUGAAUUGUAGGAUUGACAUGGACUCAUUGCUUCUUGCAUCGCCUGCUCCUUCCUCAAGAAGAAGCAAUUGCGUCUGCCAACACUAAGCCUCAUCCUUUAGUGCCAAGAUCCACUACAAUGCCAAGUCAUUAAGUUGCAAGCUUUCUAUACAAAACACCCUCUAAAAAAGAUAAUAUCAUGGUGUGUCUGUUACUGAUUAAAAAAAGGAAAAAAAACAAAAAAGGAAAGAAAAUAAUUAAAAAAAAAUAGUUAAUGUAGGCCGUAGGCGUUCACUUAUUGAAAAAAUUUACAAUGUGUAGUAUCGAUUGAUAAAGAUGCAUAUU